CCUACGGGAGACAGCAGUGAGGAAUAUUGGUCAAUGGGCGGAAGCCUGAACCAGCCAAGUCGCGUGCGGGAAGACGGCCCUACGGGUCGUAAACCGCUUUUGUACGGGGACAACACCCUCCUCUAGUGCAGCUCUGCAGGUACCGUGCGAAUAAGGUCCGGCUAACUCCGUGCCAGCAGCCGCGGUAAUACGGAGGGCACGAGCGUUAUCCGGAUUUAUUGGGCUAAAAGGGUGCGCAGGCGGGGGGUCAAGUCAGCGGUAAAAUCGCGGGGCUCAACCGCGCCCCGCAGUUGAAACUGGGCGCCUUGAGUGCACGACGGGCAGGCGGAAUGCGUGGUGUAGCGGUGAAAUGCAUAGAUAUCACGAGGAACCCCGAUUGCGAAGGCAGCCUGCCGGGGUGCGACUGACGCUGAGGCACGAAGGUGCGGGUAUCAAACAGGAUUAGAUACCCCUGUAGUC
rnacentral:rRNA from 1 species